rnacentral:rRNA from 1 species
GAUAAACGCUGGCGGCGUGCCUAAUGCAUGCAAGUCGCACGGGGAGCACCUUCGGGUGCUUCGAGUGGCGAACGGGUGAGGAACACGUGGCCGACCUACCCCGGCGUGGGGGAUACCCGCCAGAAAUGGCGGCUAAUACCGCGUACGGUCGCAUCCCGGGUGGGGGUGGCGAAGAAAGCAGCGAUGCGCGCGUGGGGAGGGGGCGUGCGGCCGAUUAGCUCGUUGGGCGGGGUAACCGGCCCACCAAGGCGAUGAGUCGGUAGCGGGUCUGAGAGGAUGAUCCGCCAC